ACCUCCCCCCUUGCAGUUAAGGGUGUUGGGCCAUUAAUUGAAAGUUUGCUGGUUCAAAAAUCAGUGCCAGCAAGCUGGAAAAAUCUGCCGUUCUGUCCUUGAGCAAGGCCGUUAGCCCCCAACAACAACUGCUCCCUGGGCCCCAAAGACGUGGAUGUCCAUUAAGGCAGCCCCCCCACACUUCUAUGAUUCAGAGGGGUUGGGUUAAAUGCAGGAGGACACAUUUCUGUUGAAUGCAUUCAGUUGUGCAACUGACUAUGUACCCCCUUUCUCUUUUGCAGCGGAGGAGAUAAACCAGGAAACGCUCUUGCUUUUGGACGACUCAACUAUAGCCUGAAGUUAAAGAAGAACAUAAAAGCCUUACACGCAAAGCGGGCGGCGCUCAGGGGCUGUAUGUGUUUGAUUGAGAAAGUCACAAAGGAGAGACAACCAGAAAAAGCACAGCUCCCUUCAUUAUUGACGCAUUGUACUGACAUCAAAGAGCCAUUCCAGAUUGCGAGCUGCUGGCUGGUCAUCAUUGUCUCUGUUCUUUUUUUGUCAGGUAUCUCUUGGAAAAGAUAUGUUAUCUCAAUGAGAACAACCUAUAUAAAUAAAGGUAAAAUAAAUAAAAUGACGAAAAAUGUAGCCUUGCCAGCCGAGAGAAGCAAGCCGAAGAUCUUCCUCUUUCGAAGUGCAGAUUCACAAGUUGACAUCGCUUUAAGACUUCUGCCAGCUAUCCUCCCAACACCAGUCUCCAAGAUUCCCUGUACUCCCUGUUCACCCACGACUGCGUGGCCACGCACGCCUCCAACUCAAUCAUCAACUUUACAGACGACCCGACAGUGGUAGGCUUGAUUACCAACAACGACGAGACGGCCUACAGGGAGGAGGUGAGGGCCCUCGGAGUGUGGUGUCAGGAAAAUAACCUCACACUCAACGUCAACAAAACUAAGGAGAUGAUUGUGGACUUCAGGAAACAGCAGAGGGAACACCCCCCUAUCCACAUCGAUGGAACAGUAGUGGAGAGGGUCGCAAGUUUUAAGUUCCUCGGCAUACACAUCACAGACAAACUGAAUUGGUCCACCCACACGGACAGCAUCGUGAAGAAGGCGCAGCAGCGCCUCUUCAACCUCAGGAGGCUGAAGAAAUUCGGCUUGUCACCAAAAGCACUCACAAACUUCUACAGAUGCACAAUCGAGAGCAUCCUGGCAGGCUGUAUCACCGCCUGGUACGGCAACUGCUCCGCCCACAACCGUAAGGCUCUCCAGAGGGUAGUGAGGUCUGCACAACGCAUCACCGGGGGAAAACUACCUGCCCUCCAGGACACCUACACCACCUGAUGUCACAGGAAGGCCAUAAAGAUCAUCAAGGACAACAACCACCCGAGCCACUGCCUGUUCACCCCGCUAUCAUCCAGAAGGCGAGGUCAGUACAGGUACAUCAAAGCUGGGACCGAGAGACUGAAAAACAGCUUCUAUCUCAAGGCCAUCGGACUGUUAAACAGCCACCACUAACAUUGAGUGGCUGCUGCCAACACACUGACUCAACUCCAGCCACUUUAAUAAUGGGAAUUGAUGGGAAAUGAUGUAAAAUAUAUCACUAGCCACUUUAAACAAUGCUACCUAAUAUAAUGUUUACAUACCCUACAUUAUUCAUCUCAUAUGUACACAUAUAUACUGUACUCUAUAUCAUCUACUGCAUCUUUAUGUAAUACAUGUAUCACUAGCCACUUUAACUAUGCCACUUUGUUUACAUACUCAUCUCAUAUGUAUAUACUGUACUCGAUACCAUCUACUGUAUCUUGCCUAUGCCGCUCUGUACCAUCACUCAUUCAUAUAUCUUUAUGUACAUAUUCUUUAUCCCCUUACACUUGUGUGUAUAAGACAGUAGUUUUGGAAUUGUUAGUUAGAUUACUUGUUGGUUAUUACUGCAUUGUCGGAACUAGAAGCACAAGCAUUUCGCUACACUCGCACUAACAUCUGCUAACCAUGUGUAUGUGACAAAUAAAAUUUGAUUAGAUUUGAAGAUUGUCAGGCAGACAUUCUGACCUACCUUCAAAGAGACCAGAAGGUCCUUCAUAUACUUGCAGCCUGUAAGUUUAAAUUGUGGACAGGCAUAGGGAGAUUGAUGGGGAAAUUAGAUGACAGCAUUUGUAAACCUUUAAUGAAAGGAACGGCAUUCCAAAAGCUAUUUUGCAUAACUAAACAAUCCAAUACAUUUUAAAUUAAUGUUUCUGAAGAUGUAGGCAUCAACCAGGGAUUGGGUAUUGAUUAAUGUAAAUGGCUAUAUAGUAUACACAAUAAAUUGUGUGUGAUGCCAUUGCCAUUGUGUCCUCAUAUUCAAAAAACAAAUGAUUUCUAUCUAACAGGUUAGGACCAACAUGGUUGAGGACCUGUUCCAGGCCUGAGGUGACCAGACCCUAACCAUUUAUGUUGGCUAUUGGGGACUGCUCACAGGGGUUUACAGUCAUUAGUGGACAUGCAUUGAAGCAAGGUGCAUUGCUUGGGGUGCUGGAUGCGUGCUUCAUGUCCUAUUAGGUGUUUGAUAUCAACUUUCCUACAAACCACAGUGUAUCAGCUGCCAGGAACAGAAUCCCCCGCAGCAAGACUGUUGCAAGCAUGUCUUUUUUCCACUGAACAAUAGUGGAUCCGUAUCAGCUCUUGUGUGUAGUGUGAGAAGUGACGGGAGGAAGCCCAGUCCUCCUCCGGCUAAUGUGUUUGUACUCCUGUGAAUUAAUAGAUCAAUGAGCCAUGAGUUUCAGAGGGGUUGGGUUAAAUGCGUAAGACACAUUUUGGUUGAAUAUAUUCAGUUGUGCAACAGACUAGGUAUCGACUUUCCCCUUCAUAUUACAAUGCUAAUAUGCUCUGAAAGCAGUAUUUAUAGCUCUGUUUUAAUGCAUUUGUGGCUGCUUUUUGCCUACUGUAAAGUAUGUGCUUGUUUGCUUUAAGUUCAAGUAUUGCUGCAUAUCUUACUUUAUUAUUAUCUAAAUAUUUCAUAGUUUUGAUGUCUUCACCAUUAUUCUACAAUGUAGAAAAUUGUAAAAAUAAAGAAAAACCCUUGAAUGAGUAGGUGUGUACAAACUUUUUGACUAGUACUGUAUACAGUUGAAGUUGGAAGUUUACAUACACUUAGGUUGGAGUCAUUAAAACUAGUUUUUCAACCACUCCACACAUUUCUUGUUAACAAACUAUAGUUUUGGCGAGUCGGUUAAGACAUCCACUUUGUGCAUGAC
ensembl:lncRNA